UACGUAGGGUGCGAGCGUUAAUCGGAAUUACUGGGCGUAAAGCGUGCGCAGGCGGUUUUGCAAGCCGGAUGUGAAAUCCCCGGGCUCAACCUGGGAAUGGCAUUCGGGACUGCAAGGCUGGAGUGCGGCAGAGGAGACUGGAAUUCCUGGUGUAGCAGUGAAAUGCGUAGAUAUCAGGAGGAAUACCGAUGGCGAAGGCAGGUCUCUGGGCUGACACUGACGCUCAUGCACGAAAGCUGGGGAGCAAACAGG
rnacentral:rRNA from 1 species